CGCAGCUGGGCUAAAGCCCGAGGCUGGCUGGGAGAAGGCGGAAGCCCGAAUAAAAUCAGUCUCUGUUGGUGAGGAAGAAGGAGGAAAGAGCCAGGCUUAAUCUUGGUCUCUCCUGUCUCUGUGGAAGCCUGAAUUCCCCUCGGUUUAUGAGGUAAAGAAUAGCUGGUCUCCUUCACAUGCUUUCCCGACCCUAUCCUGGAUAAACUGAGGCAGGAAGGCAUCUGCUUUCUACUCCAGUGAUGUUGCGGCCGGGAUGCCUUCUGGGGAACUCGAAUGCUGCAGGCAGAGGGGCUAGUUUCUGAAUUGCUUGUGACAUGUUUGGCUACCAGUGACCAAAGUCCUCUAUGGCUGGCAUUCUUUAGUUUAAAGAAUCGAGGGUGUCUCUUAAACCAGGGAUGAGGGCCUUGGAAACCUUCCAAAAAUUUUUAUACAACGCGGGUACAUACAACUUUUUACAAAUAUGAAAUCAUACUGUACAUCCUUUCUUUUGUGACCUAUUUUCAUUCAAUAACAUUUUACAGUUUUCAUGUUAAUAAACCUAGCUGUACAUUACUGGUA
rnacentral:lncRNA from 1 species